rnacentral:rRNA from 1 species
UACGAAGGGGGCUAGCGUUGUUCGGAAUCACUGGGCGUAAAGGGCGCGUAGGCGGCUUUAUAAGUCGGGGGUGAAAGCCUGUGGCUCAACCACAGAAUUGCCUUCGAUACUGUAGAGCUUGAGACCGGAAGAGGUAAGUGGAACUGCGAGUGUAGAGGUGAAAUUCGUAGAUAUUCGCAAGAACACCAGUGGCGGAGGCGGCUUACUGGUCCGGUUCUGACGCUGAGGCGCGAAAGCGUGGGGAGCAAACAGG